UGUUAUAUACAUUUUUAUUGAGUCACUUUAACAUCCAUACAUUAAUUUUAUAAACUUGUUAUGUUACUAUCAGGAGCUCACUGUGAAUGCAUUAUCUUCAGAUGGUUAAGACAUCAGACACUACCUUUUACAUAUAAUGUGCACUAAUCUCUGGGAAGAAUAAUCAUAAACAAUACAUAGGUCAACAGACUUUAAGUGGGGAGGAUAAUAGCAUUCUUGUCUGUAUGCCACAUACCAUAGAGAAUUGUACGUUGUCUAUGUACCCAAGGUGUCACUGUAUUCCUAAGAUUGCCAAGUUCAGUGUUCACUGUUUUUGACAUAUUCCUACAUAUUUGGCCCCUCAAAUUUUUGAUUCAGGUUUGCUUCCACUUGUAAUCAAGGAAAACCAUAAGAAAAUAUGCAUACAAGGAAACUUUUCAUCCAUAAGCAAACUGCUACUGGUUGUAAACAUUCAACUCCCUUUAAGAGCUGAUACAUGAGGGAUAUUAUGACUGUUCGGCUUAGGAAAGCACUACAGAUAAAUUUUACCAAGACUGGUUCAUGAUAUAAAAUGCUUUGUCUUCACGCUAGGGAAUUUAUGUUUUAGAAAUCUUGGGUAUUGUAUGUAAAUCUAGCUUAUCAAUUUUAAAACUUGUAUUCUCUUAAGAACUACAUUAACAAGAAAGCCUUUUUUAUAAGCAGUAACGUUAAGAAUGUUCCAGUGACUACCUGUCCUUAUGCCUAGUCUUGUGACUUUCUUUUGCAGGGCAUUUUCGUGUUUGGUUUACAGUAAGUGCAGAGUGGGCAGAUAGAAAGUUUGAGUUAGGGACAAUGAAAAAGAAAGAUCAAAGAGUGAAAACGAUUCAUUUCUAGGGAGAUGGCAAACUUGGACCCCUGUAUACCUUCAUGUGUAUGGUGCUCAUGAUGUCUUGUACUUUGCCUUUCUGACACCCACCAGAACUGCUGCUCUUACUCUACCUUGCCCAGAUCUCCCGUGUGAGAAUGCUUUAUGAUCAACUGCCACAGGACUGACGGAGUAACCAGUGUUUGAAUUUAUUUGAAGUCUAUCUAUGCCCUGCACAGAUCUUGUAUGUGUUUUAGAUGCUAGGAGUUUUAGCAUGUGAUUUGUGACUCUUGUUUGGAUGUUUUAUUACAGGUACCUUGUGAAUUCCAGAACAGAGACUGUGCCUCACAAUUAUUGGUCCCAUGAACUUGCACUAUCUUUCAUGGUGAUAUUCUAAAAAUACAACCAGGAAAAACAAAAACAAAUACGUUUGGACUUAAAAACAGAAUCAUGUAUCACAAAAUUAUGAAAACAUCGCUUCUGGCCCUUUUUCUUAUCCUUAAUAAUUAAGUCACAUUUAAGUAAAAUUCAAAUGGUUGGGAAAAAUACCCUCACCAGAUAGAUGGUAGUUUAGUGGAAUAGACUGAUUACUGUUUUUUAAAAAAAUGCUUCAUCAGAUAUUUUCCAGUUUCUCUUUUUUACUUUUUUGAAAAAUUACUUUUUAGGAAGAUUUGGUAUAAUGUGCAUAAAAUUAUUUACAAUUUAUGGACAAAGAUACAAGUAGCAUCUUGAUUAAACAUCAUUUACCUCAGAUAUUCAACCAGCAGUACGUUUUUUAUGCAGUCUCAACCCGUAUCUCCCUAUUUGUUACCUCUCAAAAUAUUGGGAAACAAUUAUUUUAGCUUUACUCUGUAUUUCUUGUCAGUGUUUUGGGCACAGGUUGUUGUACUACUGUCAUAUUGUACUUGCUAUUUUUUUUUCUGCAAGUAUUUAACAGAAAGCUAAAAAUGAAAAAAAUCCCCAUAAAAUCCCACCUUGAAUAAGUGAUUGUUAAAUAUUGUACAAAUAAAAUGUAUGCUAUCCCCAUUCCAUCCCCAUGUUAAAUAAAAAAUGAAUAUGGUAUUAUUUGCACAUGCAGUUUUUCUUUAGCUGUGUAUUUAUGUU
ensembl:lncRNA